UAUUAGUAAUUUUUUAUGCACUGUUUAGGCAUGUCAAAUACACAAACCAACCAAAAAGAAAUUCUUUCAGCUAUGAUUUGGUUUAUACAACAAAAGGAGAAAAUGCAAACUUCCAUUCCCAAAAUAUUAA